UAAAGGAACACAGCUCUAUGUAUCAAUUGAAUGAUUCAGUAUUAAUUUGAAGCAUAUUAGAUCAUGGCUAAUGUUAAGCUGGCUGUCUACAACCUUCUUGAAACAUUUUACAAGUAUUCUGGCAAAGAGGGGGAUGCCCUUAAACUGAACUAGAAGGAGCUCACAACCUUACUUCAGCAAGAGCUGCCUUCCAUUGUACAGGAUGACGCUCUGGCCUCCAUAGACACAAACAGGGACGGAGAAGUUGAUUUUGAAGAGUUUAUAACUUUCAUAAAUGAAAAUACUACCACCAAGUGGGACAGCUACGUACGAGCUUUGUUAACAGAAAAAAGAAAUACUAAACUGAAGAUAAAGACAGCAACAGAAAAAUCCAUGGCUGUACUAAUAAAGACUUUUCAAAAGUAUGCUGGCAGAGAAGGAAACCCACUGUGUCUUGAAAGCAGAGAGCUAAAGGAUCUAGUCAGGGCAGAAAUGCCCACACUAUACAAGUGCUUUCAAAGUAACAGAAAAGGUUCAGCAGACAUUCUGAGGAUGCUGGACACAGAUGAAGACGGGAAAGUGGGCUUCAAAGAAUUUAUGUCAUUUCUUUCCAAAUUUGCUGUUGCAGUAGAUAUGGCAGUUGUGCGCUCAGUCGAGACCAAAAACAGCUGACUGUACGUUAAAAAAAAAACUAAAAACAAAAGAAUUAUUUAAAUCUAUACAGUAGACGUAGUAAUUAAAACCUCCAAUAAUUACGUAUUACAUUAGUUAUUAACUAUGUUAAUGUGACAU